rnacentral:rRNA from 1 species
AUUGAACGCUGGCGGCAUGCUUUACACAUGCAAGUCGAACGGUAACAGGGUGCUUGCACCGCUGACGAGUGGCGAACGGGUGAGUAAUGCGUCGGAACGUGCCGAGUAGUGGGGGAUAACGCAGCGAAAGUUGUGCUAAUACCGCAUACGUACUGAGGUAGAAAGUGGGGGACCUUCGGGCCUCACGCUAUUCGAGCGGCCGACGUCUGAUUAGCUAGUAGGUGAGGUAAAGGCUCACCUAGGCGACGAUCAGUAGCGGGGCUGAGAGGAUGAUCCGCCACACUGGGACUGAGACACGGCCCAGACUCCUACGGGAGGCAGCAGUGGGGAAUUUUGGACAAUGGGCGAAAGCCUGAUCCAGCCAUGCCGCGUGUCUGAAGAAGGCCUUCGGGUUGUAAAGGACUUUUGUCAGGGAGGAAAGCCCUAGCGUUAAUACCGCUGGGGGAUGACAGUACCUGAAGAAUAAGCACCGGCUAACUACGUGCCAGCAGCCGCCGUAACAC